ensembl:rRNA
GAAUGCACCCAAUCUUGUCUGAUAUUGGAAGCUAAAC